GACUGUGUUGCUUUGGCUGGUGGACAUCUCGUUCAAACGCCAGCCCGAAGUCCAACUAAAAUUCUUUGUUUGUGAAGUCUGAGUCGAUAUUCAAUAACUAAAACUUUCAACAACGGAUCUCUUGGUUCUGGCAUCGAUGAAGAACGCAGCGAAAUGCGAUAAGUAAUGUGAAUUGCAAAAUUCCGUGAAUCAUCGAAUCUUUGAACGCACAUUGCGCCCUUUGGUAAUCCGAAGGGCAUGCCUGUUCGAGCGUCAUUGCAACCCCUCAAGCAUUGCUUGGUAUUGGUUAUCGUCCCCGGGACGAGGCCGAAAAUCCGUGGCGGUCCAGCGAGACUUCAAGCGAUCAAGAUUUUUCAUCCCGCUUUGCAAGCACCUCAUUGAUCCGGCCAGUUAAAACAUUUCUACGAUUGACCUCGGAUCAGGUAGGGAUACCCGCUGAACUUAAGCAUAUC
rnacentral:rRNA from 1 species